rnacentral:tRNA from 1 species
AGUAGAGCAGUCUGGUAGCUCGUUGGGCUCAUAACCCGAAGGUCGGUGGUUCAAAUCCAUUCUCCG